rnacentral:rRNA from 1 species
AUUGAACGCUGGCGGCAGGCCUAACACAUGCAAGUCGAGCGGAUGACGGGAGCUUGCUCCUUGAUUCAGCGGCGGACGGGUGAGUAAUGCCUAGGAAUCUGCCUGGUAGUGGGGGACAACGUUUCGAAAGGAACGCUAAUACCGCAUACGUCCUACGGGAGAAAGCAGGGGACCUUCGGGCCUUGCGCUAUCAGAUGAGCCUAGGUCGGAUUAGCUAGUUGGUGAGGUAAUGGCUCACCAAGGCGACGAUCCGUAACUGGUCUGAGAGGAUGAUCAGUCACACUGGAACUGAGACACGGUCCAGACUACUACGGGAGGCAGCAGUGGGGAAUAUUGGACAAUGGGCGAAAGCCUGAUCCAGCCAUGCCGCGUGUGUGAAGAAGGUCUUCGGAUUGUAAAGCACUUUAAGUUGGGAGGAAGGGCAGUAAGUUAAUACCUCGCUGUUUUGACGUUACCGACAGAAUAAGCACCGGCUAACUCUGUGCCAGCCGCCGCGGUAAAAC